rnacentral:rRNA from 1 species
UACGUAGGUGGCAAGCGUUGUCCGGAUUUACUGGGCGUAAAGGGUGCGUAGGCGGACAUUUAAGUCAGAUGUGAAAUACCCGAGCUUAACUUGGGUGCUGCAUUUGAAACUGGGUGUCUAGAGUGCAGGAGAGGUAAGUGGAAUUCCUAGUGUAGCGGUGAAAUGCGCAGAUAUCAGGAAGAACACCAAUGGCGAAGACAGCACUCUGGGCCGUGACUGACGCUGAGGCGCGAAAGCGUGGGGAGCAAACAGG